GAUGAACGCUGGCGGCGUGCCUAACACAUGCAAGUCGAGCGAUUCUCUUCGGAGAAGAGCGGCGGACGGGUGAGUAACGCGUGGGUAACCUGCCCUGUACACACGGAUAACAUACCGAAAGGUAUGCUAAUACGAGAUAAUAUGCUUUUAUCGCAUGGUAGAAGUAUCAAAGCUUUUGCGGUACAGGAUGGACCCGCGUCUGAUUAGCUAGUUGGUAAGGUAACGGCUUACCAAGGCGACGAUCAGUAGCCGACCUGAGAGGGUGAUCGGCCACAUUGGAACUGAGACACGGUCCAAACUCCUACGGGAGGCAGCAGUGGGGAAUAUUGCACAAUGGGCGAAAGCCUGAUGCAGCAACGCCGCGUGAGCGAUGAAGGCCUUCGUGUCGUAAAGUUCUGUCCUCAAGGAAGAUAAUGACGGUACUUGAGGAGGAAGCCCCGGCUAACUACGUG
rnacentral:rRNA from 1 species